GAUGAACGCUAGCUACGGGCUUAACACAUGCAAGUCGCGGGGCAGCAUGGGGGUUGCUUGCAAUCCCCGAUGGCGACCGGCGCACGGGUGAGUAACGCGUAUCCAACCUGCCCUUCACCACGGGAUAACCCGGCGAAAGUCGGACUAAUACCGUAUGUUGUCCAUUGACGGCAUCCGAUUUGGACGAAAGGUUUGGCGGUGAAGGAUGGGGAUGCGUCCGAUUAGCUGGACGGCGGGGUGACGGCCCACCGUGGCGACGAUCGGUAGGGGUUCUGAGAGGAAGGUCCCCCACACUGGAACUGAGACACGGUCCAGACUCCUACGGGAGGCAGCAGUGAGGAAUAUUGGUCAAUGGGCGUAAGCCUGAACCAGCCAAGUAGCGUGCAGGAUGACGGCCCUAUGGGUUGUAAACUGCUUUUAUGCGGGGAUAAAGUGGCCCACGUGUGGGUUUUUGCAGGUACCGCAUGAAUAAGGACCGGCUAAUUCCGUG
rnacentral:rRNA from 1 species